rnacentral:rRNA from 1 species
ACGCUCGACACCUACGGGAGCAGCAGUGAGGAAUAUUGGUCAAUGGGCGCUAGCCUGAACCAGCCAAGUAGCGUGAAGGAUGAAGGCUCUAUGGGUCGUAAACUUCUUUUAUAUAAGAAUAAAGUGCAGUAUGUAUACUGUUUUGUAUGUAUUAUAUGAAUAAGGAUCGGCUAACUCCGUGCCAGCAGCUGCGGUAAUCUGAGCGGGCUGGCAAGGC